CACGCUACACAUUUCUGUGACCCCAAUUAGGCUGGCUGGCACUAGCCCCUGGCAAACGUCAAGCUUCCUUAUGAUUCAUGUGACCUUCCUACAUUAUUGAACACGAGCAUACGUUUUUUCUUGGGGUCUCGUCAACCUUCUUUUCUGUUUUUGCUUUCGCUAUAGUUGGCUGCACCACAACAUGCAUAGUAAUAACUCCUUUAGGGAGAUCCCCGAAAGGCACUCGACAUUGACCAACAGUCUUGUUGUUUUCUAAAAUCUUGCCAGCAUUGAUCAGUUUUACGUCACUUGCUGCCUUGGGUAUAACCUUCUUAUCUUUAGGCCACUCUGCAACAAUUCUCUCCUUAACCAUCGCUAUAGUUGAAGUUGGGGAAUAACGAAACGGACCGAUGUCCGAUCCAUCAUAAAGUCGGAACUUAAGCUCGAUCAAAUCCUCGUCCGGCAUUUGAGCUCUACCAGUAAAACACCACCGUCAUCGCCAGCAGCAACUUCCCCCGAAAAAUCUUCCCACACAAAACCUACCUACCGCAAGCGAGCGCUAUCGCAUACCUGAGAAAAGAAGAUGCGGAGAGAGAAAUAGAGAGAGAGAUGUAAGGAAUCAGAAGCUUUAUCUCUUUAAUGGAGAAAUUGUUAAAGAGAG
rnacentral:misc_RNA from 1 species